rnacentral:lncRNA from 1 species
CUCUGAUUCUGAUUAUAACUACCUGAUCCAUCACUGCUCCUCUCAUUGGUAGGACCAAUUUUACCACCACUUUUGGUUCCACGAUCUUGACCAUGACCUCUAUUACUAUGGCCUUGACCUCGACUUGAUGAUGUCUGUCGUUGAUUUGAAUCUACACCAUCUUUCUCCUUUUCUUUUGAUAAAUUCAUUUUCAUCUGAAAAGCUUGUUCAACUGAAGUCUCACGAGAUUUAUUGAGUCGAUCGUCAUGAGAUUGAAGUGAGCCAAAAAGUUUACUAACGAAAAAAAAU